rnacentral:rRNA from 1 species
GACGAACGCUGGCGGCGUGCUUAACACAUGCAAGUCGAGCGGAGCGGCGAACGGGUGAGCAACGCGCGAGUAAUUGCCCCCCUCUCUGGGAUAACAGUUGGAAACGGCUGCUAAUAUCGGAUAGUGGGGGAUGAUUCGCGUCCUAUCAGCUUGUUGGUGGGGUAGUGGCCUACCAAGGGGAAGACGGGUGGCCGGCCUGAGAGGGCGACCGGCCACAUUGUGCUUGGAAACGGGCCGAACUCCUACGUGAGACAGCAGUGGGGAAUAUUGCACGCUGGGGGAAGCCCUGAUGCAGCAACGUCGCGUGCGGAAUGACGGCCUUCGGGUUGUAAACCGCUUUCAGCGAUUACGCGGUAGUGGCAGAAGAAGCACCGGCUAACUACGUGCCAGCAGCCGCGGUAAUUC